GAUGAACGCUGGCGGCGUGCCUAACACAUGCAAGUCGAACGAGAGAGAGGGAGCUUGCUUCCUCAAUCGAGUGGCGAACGGGUGAGUAACGCGUGAGGAACCUGCCUCAAAGAGGGGGACAACAGUUGGAAACGACUGCUAAUACCGCAUAAGCCCACGACCCGGCAUCGGGAAGAGGGAAAAGGAGCAAUCCGCUUUGAGAUGGCCUCGCGUCCGAUUAGCUAGUUGGUGAGGUAACGGCCCACCAAGGCGACGAUCGGUAGCCGGACUGAGAGGUUGAACGGCCACAUUGGGACUGAGACACGGCCCAGACUCCUACGGGAGGCAGCAGUGGGGAAUAUUGCACAAUGGGGGAAACCCUGAUGCAGCAACGCCGCGUGAGUGAAGAAGUAUUUCGGUAUGUAAAGCUCUAUCAGCAGGAAAGAAAAUGACGGUACCUGACUAAGAAGCCCCGGCUAACUACGUG
rnacentral:rRNA from 1 species